GACGGAGGGCGGGGGUGUUAUUCGUUUUGAUUGGGUGUAAAGGGUACGUAGGCUGUGUACAAUAAUUUUUGGCAAAAAGUGCGGAGUGUUCCUACGCAACUGCCUUUUAUCUGAGUACACUUGUGUUGGGGAUAGGUCGGGGCAAAUUCUUAUGUAGGGGUAAAAUCCUGCCAUAUAAGAAUGAACGUCAGCUGGCGAAGGCGCCUUUCUAGCCCCAUCAGACGCUAAGGUACGGAAGCUUAGGUAGCAAACGGG
rnacentral:rRNA from 1 species